UACGUAGGGUGCAAGCGUUGUCCGGAAUUAUUGGGCGUAAAGAGCUCGUAGGCGGUUUGUUGCGUCGGCUGUGAAAUCCCGAGGCUCAACCUCGGGUCUGCAGUCGAUACGAGCAAACUAGAGUGUUGCAGGGGAGACUGGAAUUCCUGGUGUAGCGGUGAAAUGCGUAGAUAUCGGGAGGAACACCGGUGGCGAAGGCGGCCCCCUGGUUGGAUACUGACGCUGAGACGCGAAAGCGUGGGGAGCAAACAGG
rnacentral:rRNA from 1 species